UACGUAGGGUGCAAGCGUUGUCCGGAAUUAUUGGGCGUAAAGAGCUCGUAGGCGGUUUGUCGCGUCUGCUGUGAAAUCUGGGGGCUCAACCCCCCAGCCUGCAGUGGGUACGGGCAGACUAGAGUGCGGUAGGGGAGAUUGGAAUUCCUGGUGUAGCGGUGAAAUGCGCAGAUAUCAGGAGGAACACCGGUGGCGAAGGCGGGUCUCUGGGCCUGUACUGACGCUGAGGAGCGAAAGCGUGGGGAGCAAACAGG
rnacentral:rRNA from 1 species